UGGGGUAGGUGGGCAUCUG
rnacentral:misc_RNA from 1 species